GUUAUACAUCAUGGGGCUUUUAAAGGUUAUUCAUAAUAGGGCUUUUAGAGGUUAUACAUCAUGGGGCUUUUAAAGGUUAUUCAUAAUGGGGCUUUUAAAGGUUAUUUAUCAUGGGGCUUUUAAAGGUUAUUCAUAAUGGGGCUUUUAAAGGUUAUUCAUAAUGGGGCUUUUAAAGGUUAUACAUCAUGGGGCUUUUAAAGGUUAUUUAUCAUGGGGCUUUUAAAGGUUAUUUAUCAUGGGGCUUUUAAAUGUUAUUUAUCAUGGGGCUUUUAAAGGUUAUUUAUCAUGGGGCUUUUAAAGGUUAUACAUAAUGGGGCUUUUAAAGGUUAUUUAUCAUGGGGCUUUUAAAGGUUAUUUAUCAUGGGGCUUUUAAAGGUUAUUUAUCAUGGGGCUUUUAAAGGUUAUACAUAAUGGGGCUUUUAAAGGUUAUUUAUCAUGGGGCUUUUAAAGGUUAUUUAUCAUGGGGCUU
ensembl:lncRNA